GCCGCGCGGAGAGCGCAUGUACGAGGCUAGUGAGGGUGCAUGUCACCCGAUUGUCUCGUGGGAAGGUCUGAGACUGUCAACCGAUAUCCCCGUGAUGGGGAGCCGCCUUGAGGGGGCGCGGGGCAACAGAAACGGCUCCUGAGAGGCGCCACAACGCUGUGACCGGGCCUGCGAGCUCGCGAGGGGGAGGUGCCAUCACGGAAUGAGAUAACCGUGUUGAGCGCGUGAAGCGAGAUUUGCGCGCAAAACCCAAUUCAGACUACUCCCGCAGCGGC
rfam:Opisthorchis viverrini opera_v5_419.2, whole genome shotgun sequence.